rnacentral:tRNA from 1 species
GUAUGUAUAGCUCAGUGGUAGAGCACGUGCUUAGCAUGCACAAGGUCCUGGGUUAAAUUCCCAGUACCUCCU